rnacentral:misc_RNA from 1 species
UCCGGUUUGGCACCGGCAGUCUCCCUAGAGUUCCCGGCAUGACCCGCUGGCAACUAAGGACAGGGGUUGCGCUCGUUGCGCCACUUAAGGCAACACCUCACGGCACGAGCUGACGACAGCCAUGCAGCACCUGUGCGGGCUCCCGAAGGAGGACCGUGUUUCCACGGCUUCACCCCGCAUGUCAAGCCCAGGUAAGGUUCUUCGCGUUGCGUCGAAUUAAACCACAUGCUCCACUGCUUGUGCGGGCCCCCGUCAAGUCCUUUGAGUUUCACCCUUGCGAGCGUACUCCCCAGGUGGAUCACUUAACGCGUUAGCUUCGACACCGACCCUGAGGGCCGACAUCAAGUGAUCAUCGUUUAGGGCAUGGACUAC